UACAGAGGGGGCCAGCGUUAUUCGGAAUUACUGGGCGUAAAGCGCACGUAGGCGGCUCUUUAAGUCGGGGGUGAAAUCCUGGAGCUCAACUCCAGAACUGCCUUCGAUACUGUAGAGCUUGAGUUCGGGAGAGGUGAGUGGAACUGCGAGUGUAGAGGUGAAAUUCGUAGAUAUUCGCAAGAACACCAGUGGCGAAGGCGGCUCACUGGCCCGAUACUGACGCUGAGGUGCGAAAGCGUGGGGAGCGAACAGG
rnacentral:rRNA from 1 species